rnacentral:rRNA from 1 species
UGAGCAAUCUGCCCUUCUCAUCGGAAUAAGCGUUGGAAACGACGUCUAAUGCCGAAUACGACCUCCUUUCGCAUGAUCGGAGGUGGAAAGCUCCGGCGGAGAAAGAUGAGCUCGCGGCCUAUCAGCUAGUUGGUGUGGGUAACGGCCCACCAAGGCGACGACGGGUAGCCGGCCUGAGAGGGUGACCGGCCACACUGGGACUGAGACACGGCCCAGACUCCUACGGGAGNAG